rnacentral:lncRNA from 1 species
AGUUGAGAAACAUAUAUAUAUACACAAUCGUGUAUAUGCGCGAUUACACGGUCCAACUUCAUUGAAUAUACAACAUAUUAUUUUAUGUGUUUAUGAACAGGUUAGUAACCUAAUUUGAUAGAAUUCAGGAUUUAAUUCUCAGUGUGUUAAUAAGAUUAUAAUAACUAGAAAAUCUAAUUAAUAUUUUCAUUCGAGGGUGAAAACUAGAAAACACGUUACAUCGACCAAAUCUUACCAUGAGAAAUAAGAAGAUGAGGAGGAAAUCAAGAACAUGGAGGAGAGGCUUGAUUAAGGUGAAUGGGAAAAAAGCCAGAGAAUGAAAGCAGAGAAAAGAAGAACAAGUGGGAUGAGAUGAACUGCUUUCUCUCCCAAUGAUUUGUGCUGCAGAGCUAUCUCCUUCUUGCUUGCAUCAGAAACUGGCAGUACCAGAAGAUCAGAAGGAGAGGACAUGGUAGCUCCUGCUGCUGAUAAGUUGACCAAGAACUCAUCAGACGGCCGACUAUUGGUAAUGCUUGAUGAUGAUGAUGUUGAAGAUAACCUGUACAUCGUUAUUCUUGAUCAGAGAUGGAGGAGAAGCAUAGAGUCUAUACAAAAAGAUGAAGUGGGUAAGCUUAUAUAUACAUAUAUAUUAAAGGGAAAGGUGACAUAGGGUGUUGUCAAAACUUCUAAAGCCUGAAGUUAAGGAGAGAAAGAGCUUUGAUUUUAGAGCCAAACAUGCAGUGACAGUUGAGUGCUUAUACAUGAAUUUUCUGCAAGUUGCAAUUGGAUUCAAUAUAUAUAUAUAUAUAUACAUGAUUAUAUAUGUGUGUGUGUGUGUGAGUGUGUAUGCAGUUGUGGGAGAUUGAAUAUUUAUGUGGUUUAAU